rnacentral:rRNA from 1 species
AGUGAACGCUGGCGGCAGGCCUAACACAUGCAAGUCGAGCGGCAGCGGGUUCCCGCGAGGGGAUGCCGGCGAGCGGCGGACGGGUGAGGAACACAUCGGAAUCUGCCUGGUUGUGGGGGAUAACGUAGGGAAACUUACGCUAAUACCGCAUGCGACCCUGAGUCGACGGACUGGGGGUGAAAGUGAGGGACCUUCGGGCCUCACGCGACCAGAUGAGCCGAUGUCGGAUAGCUAGUUGGCGGGGUAACGGCCCGCCAAGGCGACGAUCCGUAGCUGGUCUGAGAGGAUGAUCAGCCACACUGGGACUGAGACACGGCCCAGACUCCUACGGGAGGCAGCAGUGGGGAAUCUUGGACAAUGGGCGCAAGCCUGAUCCAGCC